rnacentral:lncRNA from 1 species
GUACUUGCUGGACAGACUGCUGCCACACCGGCUGGGGGCCACAUGUUGAGUCAGAAAAAUGGAGGUGACUGGCGUACUCACACCUUCCUCCACAUCCUGGCAGUGGGCUUCUAGACCAGCCAACAGGAAGCUUCACAGGGUACAGGUAGUAGAAGAAACUCCCCUGGAUGUAUAAUGGACUCAUAGGAAACCCUAGAAAACACCUCCAUCCUGGGUCAGAGGAACUUUUUUUAGCUCAUCUGAGAGAACAGAUGGCUGCAAGAUUGUAAGAACCAGAGGAGGACUGGUGUGGGAUAACUAAUCCUCAAUGGUCCUGACAGCUGACCUAGAGCAUGCACACUAAUAUCUCCUGAUAGAUGGCCUAGAAUGGCAGUAAGAGCAUGUGCAGUAGAUAUUUCCUGACAGACAGCCUGGUUCUGCCAGAGGGCCUUGACAACAGCACCCAAGUCUGAGAAGAGAGGAC